rnacentral:rRNA from 1 species
UACAGGGGGCUAGCGUUGUCCGGAUUUAUUGGGCGUAAAGAGCGUGUAGGCGGCCCGGUAAGUCUGUUGUGAAAGUCCAGGGCUCAACCCUGGAAUGCCGAUGGAUACUGCCGGGCUAGAGUUCGGAAGAGGCGAGUGGAAUUCCUGGUGUAGCGGUGGAAUGCGCAGAUAUCAGGAGGAACACCUAUAGCGAAGGCAGCUCGCUGGGACGACACUGACGCUGAGACGCGAAAGCGUGGGGAGCGAACAGG